rnacentral:lncRNA from 1 species
GAGCAUCCGUGGCUAGCAGUGGAAGAUGGGGUUGGGCCCCAGGAGUGUGAAAUUGGGAAGUAAUUCAAAAUGUAUGUGCCUAGCAUUCCUUUUAUGUAACAUGAGGGGAAUAGAAGUACCAAACCGAUGCAGUUCAGUGGAGAAUUAAAUGAGAUAGUCACAAGUAAAAGGUGAGACGCGAUCUUACUGCAUUGACCAGGAUGGUCUCAAACUCCUGGCUACAGGCUAUCCUCCUGCCUCUGUCUCCCAAAGCGCUGGGAUUACAAGCGUGAGCCACCAGGCCUGGCCCAAUUGCUUCUUAACAACUUACUAUUCUUUGUUCACUACAGUGUAUACAUAACUGACUUUUUAUUUGGAUCUUCAUUUUGUAAUGAAGGCUCUGGUCACAUGUAAGACUUGUAUUAAAUAAAUUU